AGGGCUAGAGAGUGCUCUUCCCAGCAAUAG
rnacentral:piRNA from 1 species